rnacentral:rRNA from 1 species
AACGAACGCUGGCGGCAGGCUUAACACAUGCAAGUCGAACGCAUCCUUCGGGGUGAGUGGCAGACGGGUGAGUAACGCGUGGGAACGUGCCCUUCAGUUCGGAAUAACCCAGGGAAACUUGGGCUAAUACCGGAUACGUGCGAGAGCAGAAAGAUUUAUCGCUGAAGGAUCGGCCCGCGUCUGAUUAGCUAGUUGGUAGGGUAAUGGCCUACCAAGGCGACGAUCAGUAGCUGGUCUGAGAGGAUGAUCAGCCACAUUGGGACUGAGACACGGCCCAAACUCCUACGGGAGGCAGCAGUGGGGAAUAUUGGACAAUGGGCGCAAGCUUGAUCCAGCCAUGCCGCGUGAGUGAUGAAGGCCUUAGGGUUGUAAAGCUCUUUCGUCCGGGACGAUAAUGACGGUACCGGAAGAAGAAGCCCCGGCUAACUUCGUGCCAGCAGCCGCCGUAACAC